rnacentral:tRNA from 1 species
GGCCCGUUGGUCAAGCGGUUAAGACACCGCACUUUCACGGCGGUAACACGGGUUCGAAUCCCGUACGGGUCA